rnacentral:rRNA from 1 species
AUUGAACGCUGGCGGCAUGCCUUACACAUGCAAGUCGAACGGCAGCACGGGAGCAAUCCUGGUGGCGAGUGGCGAACGGGUGAGUAAUAUAUCGGAACGUGCCCAGUCGUGGGGGAUAACGUAGCGAAAGCUACGCUAAUACCGCAUACGAUCUAUGGAUGAAANCGGGGGAUCGCAAGACCUCGCGCGAUUGGAGCGGCCGAUAUCAGAUUAGGUAGUUGGUGAGGUAAAGGCUCACCAAGCCGACGAUCUGUAGCUGGUCUGAGAGGACGACCAGCCACACUGGGACUGAGACACGGCCCAGACUCCUACGGGAGGCAGCAGUGGGGAAUUUUGGACAAUGGGCGCAAGCCUGAUCCAGCAAUGCCGCGUGCAGGAUGAAGGCCUUCGGGUUGUAAACUGCUUUGUACGGAACGAAACGGUGAGCUCUAAUACAGUUUGCUAAUGACGGUACCGUAAGAAUAAGCACCGGCUAACUACGUG